rnacentral:rRNA from 1 species
GGCGCAAGCCUGAUCCAGCAAUGCCGCGUGAGUGAUGAAGGCCUUAGGGUUGUAAAGCUCUUUCGGCGGGGACGAUGAUGACGGUACCCGCAGAAGAAGCCCCGGCUAACUUCGUGCCAGCAGCCGCGGUAAUACGAAGGGGGCGAGCGUUGUUCGGAUUUACUGGGCGUAAAGGGCGCGUAGGCGGCGGCCCAAGUCGAGUGUGAAAGCCCCGGGCUCAACCUGGGAGGUGCGCUCGAGACUGGUCUGCUAGAGUUCGGGAGAGGAGAGUGGAAUUCCCAGUGUAGAGGUGAAAUUCGUAGAUAUUGGGAAGAACACCGGUGGCGAAGGCGGCUCACUGGCCCGUUACUGACACUCAUGCGCGACAGCGUGGGGAUCAAACAGGAUUAGAUACCCUGGUAGUCCACGCCGUAAACGAUGGAUGCUAGCCGUUGGCGAGCUUGCUCGUCAGUGGCGCAGCUAACGCAUUAAGCAUCCCGCCUGGGGAGUA